AUGCUCUGGAGAUGGACGGCUAGUGGCACCUAUACGGCACGGUCAUGCUACGCUGCAACCUUCCAGGGAUCCAUGAAAUGCCCCUCCUGGAAGCUUACCUGGAAGAGCUGGGCACCGCGCCGUGUCCAUUUCUUUCACUGGUUGGCUAGCCAGGAUCGGUGUUGGACGGCGGAUCGACUCGCCCGUCGCGGCCUAUAG
rnacentral:rRNA from 1 species